UCUCUUGGGUGAGCACAAGAUCAAAAAACCCUAUGGUUUGGACCAAGGGUUUGGGAAGAGAGAAAAAGAAAAGAGAAGAUAGUCUCCUCUCCAUAUUUCUUUUACCUCUUCAUCUCCUCCAGAAGUCUAUCUUCAACCUCUAAAAAGAUUUUAGAGAUUUGAAGAAAAGAUCUAGAUCAACCAAGAAGAAGGUCUUCACGCGAACUAGCAUUCUCGAAAAGAUCGAUCAGAUCGGGGCUUC
rnacentral:lncRNA from 1 species